rnacentral:rRNA from 1 species
AGGAAAAGAAAAUAACAAUGAUUCCCCUAGUAACGGCGAGUGAAGAGGGAAAAGCUCAAAGUUGGAACCUGGUGGGCAUAGCUCACCCGGAUUGUAAACUAAAGUUUUUGAGUCGUUUAGUCAGCCAGGUAAAUAAGUCCUCUGGAAAGGGGCGACAUAGAGGGUGAAAUCCCCGUCUUUGGCCUGAGUUUUGAUUAGGCGUUUGGCUUGGAAACGAAGAGUCAGGUUGUUUGGGAAUGCAGCCUAAAAUGGGAGGUAAAUCUCUCCUAAAGCUAAAUAUUGACGAAAGACCGAUAGCGAACAAGUACCGUGAGGGAAAGAUGAAAAGCACUUUGAAAAGAGGGUCAAAAAGUACGUGAAAUUGCUGAAAGGGAACCGUAUGAAAUCAGACUUACUGGUAGGUAAUCAAUCUUUCCCUUGGGAAGGAUGCACUUGCCUGCUAUGUACGCCAGCGACAUUUUGGUUGUGGAGGAAAAAAAUAGUUGGAAUGUAGCCUGGGUUUCGGCUUAGGUGUUAUAGACUACUAUAAAAUACUCUCGGCUAGAAUGAGGAACGCAGCAAACCGUAAGGCGAAGAUUUUAGGCGCUUGGGGGGAAUCAUUAGAGAAUUUCUGCUUCGGGUGGUGCUUUAGUGAUUUCGUUCAACUCGUUUGAAUUUCUUUUUAUUUGCUUAGGUUGUUGGCUUAAUGAUUUUAUAUGACC